CCUACGGGGGGCAGCAGUGAGGAAUAUUGGUCAAUGGACGAGAGUCUGAACCAGCCAAGUAGCGUGAAGGAUGACUGCCCUAUGGGUUGUAAACUUCUUUUAUAUGGGAAUAAAACGUUCCACGUGUGGGAUUUUGUAUGUACCAUAUGAAUAAGGAUCGGCUAACUCCGUGCCAGCAGCCGCGGUAAUACGGAGGAUCCGAGCGUUAUCCGGAUUUAUUGGGUUUAAAGGGAGCGUAGGUGGAUUGUUAAGUCAGUUGUGAAAGUUUGCGUCUCAACCGUAAAAUUGCAGUUGAAACUGGCAGUCUUGAGUACAGUAGAGGUGGGCGGAAUUCGUGGUGUAGCGGUGAAAUGCUUAGAUAUCACGAAGAACUCCGAUUGCGAAGGCAGUUCACUGGACUGCAACUGACACUGAGGCUCGAAAGUGUGGGUAUCAAACAGGAUUAGAUACCCUUGUAGUC
rnacentral:rRNA from 1 species